rnacentral:rRNA from 1 species
AGUACGUAGUUUGAUCGAGUGGACUACGAGGACGACGCUGGCGGCGUGCCUAACACAUGCAAGUCGAACGGGGUCGGCCCCUUCGGGGACUGACUUAGUGGCGAACGGGUGAGUAACGCGUGAAGAACCUGCCUUUCAGUGGGGGACAACAGUUGGAAACGACUGCUAAUACCGCAUAAUGUAUUCGGACGGCAUCGUCUGGAUACCAAAGCUUUAUGUGCUGAAAGAUGGCUUCGCGUCUGAUUAGCUAGAUGGCGGGGUAACGGCCCACCAUGGCGACGAUCAGUAGCCGGUCUGAGAGGAUGAACGGCCACAUUGGGACUGAGAUACGGCCCAGACUCCUACGGGAGGCAGCAGUGGGGAAUAUUGGGCAAUGGGGGAAACCCUGACCCAGCAACGCCGCGUGAAGGAAGAAGGCCUUCGGGUUGUAAACUUCUUUUACCAGGGACGAAGAACGUGACGGUACCUGGAGAAAAAGCAACGGCUAACUACGUG